CUACUACUUCCUCCGUCCAACAAAAGAUGUCUCAAGUUUGUCAAAAUUUGGAUGUAUCUAGACAUGACUUAGUGUAUAGAUGCAUUCAAAUUUAGUCAAAGUUGAGACAUCCUUUGUUGGACGGAGGGAGUAGCAA
rnacentral:pre_miRNA from 1 species